rnacentral:SRP_RNA from 1 species
GGGUGGUGGGGCCCCGGGGAACUUGGCCUUCCCUACAUCCGCAAACGGUCAAUAUGGCGGGGGCUCACCUUGGGGGGCGGCGCCUUCCUCCAGUAGCGGGCCGCAUAGGGUACUCUAUGACCCUCGGCCCUACGGGGUCGCCCGUAAGCUAUACUCUCCUCUGAAAGGAGGAGAGUAUAGCUGCACACUCGAACCGGGUUAGGCCCGGGAGAGCGUUAAGGCCCCGAAGGAGCAGCCCUAAGGGUGGCGGGCGGCGUUCGUAGGUCCCCGGGGUAAGAGGAACUAUGCGGCUCCGCUGCUGGAUAGGCGUCCACCUCCGGGGGGCCACCACCC